AGCAGUAGAGAAUCUUGUGCAAUAAACGAAAGUAUGACACAGAGAGGACACAUUUAAUUAAGCCCGUCAAAUUAAGUGCCAGCCGACGCGGUUAAACUUAAGGGCUGGUCUUUAUAAGUAAAAAGGCGUAAAGGAUGUGUAGGCCAAGAAACAAUCAAAGUAGGUAAAUGGAAUUUUUCUGGAGCGGUAGAAUGCGAGGAUAGAAAAUAGAACCCCUAAGGUAAAAACUAUUUACCACAAGGUAGGCUGAAACAUGAAAGUGUGGGGAGCAAACAGGAUUAGAGACCCUGGUAGUCCACACUGUAAACUUUGAAGAUGAUGCUUAGCAGACCCGAAAGGUAAAAUCUUCCGCCUGAGUAGUACGAUCGCAAGAUUAAAAUUCAAAAACUUUGGCUGUUCACUAUUUCGAUUAGAGGAGCGUGUAGUUUAAUUCGAUGGUCCGCGUGUUACCUUACCCCAACUUGAAUCUGUGACCGGUAUUGCAUGGCCGUCGUAAGUUCGUGUAUUAAGCUAAAAGGGACCCAACCCGGGCAUUUGCCCGGAGGAAGUCAGGUCUUAUGAUCCGAAUGUUGGGGGAUUUUAUGCGCUACAUUUUCUUAUAUAAUGGGAAACCUGAAAGGUGAGCCUCUAAAGUAAGAGUUCGGAAGGUCGCUGUAAGACGACUGGAAGUUGGAUUUAAUAGUAAUCGGAAAGUAGGGCGUUCCGGUGAAUUGGUACAAGUGUUAGCACAAAUUGCCCGUCACCUUUACCUAGAAUGGUUAUUCGGACGUCUUCGGUGAUUACGAAUGCCUACGAGGUA
rnacentral:rRNA from 1 species